AUGUUAAGUUCAGAGAUUAACAAGAAGAUUUACAAGAUUGGUCAAGGCUACCUCAUCAAGGAUGGUAAACUGAUCAAGAACAAUGCAUCUACUGACUAUGACCUGUCUGACAAGACCAUCAACCCACUGGGUGGCUUUGUCCAUUAUGGUGAGGUGACCAAUGACUUCAUCAUGCUCAAAGGCUGCGUGGUGGGAACCAAGAAGCGAGUGCUCACUCAUCGUAAGUCCUUGUUGGUCCAGACCAAACGUCGGGCACUGGAGAAGAUUGACCUGAAAUUCAUUGACACCACCUCCAAGUUUGGCCAUGGUCACUUCCAGACCAUGGAGGAGAAGAAAGCCUUCAUGGGACCACUCAAGAAAGAUCGCAUUGCCAAGGAGGAGGGUGCGUGAUUCUACGAUCACUUUGCACAGCUGGUUCUGGUGGUCUCAUCAAUAAAAUAUUUCCAGUAAAAAAAAAAAAAA